UACGUAGGGGGCAAGCGUUGUCCGGAAUUAUUGGGCGUAAAGAGCGUGUAGGCGGUCCGGUAAGUCCGCUGUGAAAGUCCAGGGCUCAACCCCUGGAAUGCCGGUGGAUACUGCCGGGCUAGAGUCCGGAAGAGGCGAGUGGAAUUCCUGGUGUAGCGGUGAAAUGCGCAGAUAUCAGGAGGAACACCGAUGGCGAAGGCAGCUCGCUGGGACGGUACUGACGCUGAGACGCGAAAGCGUGGGGAGCAAAACAGG
rnacentral:rRNA from 1 species